AGGAGCUGUGUGAGAUGAAAGUCUCAUGCACGAUUUUGAAUGAGCGAAAAAAGUGAAGAAUUCCUUUUUCGACUCUGAC
rfam:Daucus carota subsp. sativus cultivar DH1 chromosome 5, whole genome shotgun sequence.